rnacentral:tmRNA from 1 species
GGUCUUUCGUUUUGCUCGCAAUAUCCUUAUAUCGGUUCGGUCGGACGGGAUUUUCCCGGCCCGAAUAUGGCGAUAAAUUGCGGCGUAGACUAGGCGCAGCGGACCCGGGGGCAGUACCCGGCGACUCCACCACCACGCGUCCUUUCAGGGCGGAUGAUGAUGGGGUCGAACUAGGAUCGACGUGUGUUGAAAGGCGCAGCUUUCGCUCGGAAUGGGACCACCGCAACGGCCCAUUACACAAGUGCCAACGAUAACGAAGCACUCGCGAUUGCGGCGUAACUGAGGGCCUAACGGCCUGAUGUUACUCUAAAAUAGCGCGGUUGGACCGCACCGGGCAACAGAAGCGGAUUCCAGCGGUACGGGGGACACCGGGCAACAGAAGUCCCCCACU